rnacentral:pre_miRNA from 1 species
ACAUGCAUUACCGGGUUGAGUCUUCCUUGGCAGUGUUCGAAUCGGCAGUACCGGUCUGCAAGUGAUCGGUCAAUCACCAGUUCACCACUGCCAAAGGAGAUUUGCCCAGCAAUGCAACU